rnacentral:rRNA from 1 species
GGGGGAGCAAGCGUUGUUCGGAUUUACUGGGCGUAAAGGGCGCGUAGGCGGCCUCUGCAAGUCGACUGUGAAAUCUCCGGGCUUAACCCGGAACGGUCAGCCGAUACUGCAGGGCUAGAGUGCAGAAGGGGCAACUGGAAUUCUCGGUGUAGCGGUGAAAUGCGUAGAUAUCGAGAGGAACACCUGCGGCGAAGGCGGGUUGCUGGGCUGACACUGACGCUGAGGCGCGAAAGCUAGGGGAGCGAACGGGAUUAGAUACCCCGGUAGUCCUAGCCUUAAACGAUGAAUGCUUGGUGUCUGGGGUUUUAUAGUCCCCGGGUGCCGUCGCUAACGCUUUAAGCAUUCCGCCUGGGGAGUACGGUCGCAAGACUG